UACGGAGGGGGCUAGCGUUGUUCGGAAUUACUGGGCGUAAAGCGCACUAGGCGGCUUUGUAAGUUAGAGGUGAAAGCCCGGGGCUCAACUCCGGAAUUGCCUUUAAGACUGCAUCGCUAGAAUUGUGGAGAGGUAAGUGGAAUUCCGAGUGUAGAGGUGAAAUUCGUAGAUAUUCGGAAGAACACCAGUGGCGAAGGCGACUUACUGGACACAUAUUGACGCUGAGGUGCGAAAGCGUGGGGAGCAAACAGG
rnacentral:rRNA from 1 species